UACAGAGACUGCAAGCGUUAUUCGGAUUCACUGGGCGUAAAGGGUGCGCAGGCGGCCAAGUGUGUUAGGCGUGAAAGCCCGGGGCUUAACCUCGGAAUUGCACCUAAAACUACUUGGCUAGAGCAUUGGAGAGGGUAGCGGAAUUCACGGUGUAGCAGUGAAAUGCGUAGAUAUCGUGAGGAACACCAGAGGCGAAGGCGGCUACCUGGACAAUUGCUGACGCUCGGACGCACGAAAGCGUGGGGAGCAAAAGGG
rnacentral:rRNA from 1 species